GCGCUUGUAGCUCAGAUGGAUAGAGCGUUGGAUUCCGGUUCCAGAGGCCGGGGGUUCGAAUCCUCCCAAGCGCGCAA
rnacentral:tRNA from 1 species